ensembl:lncRNA
CCCGACUCUUGAUGCCUCUCCUAAUAGACACAUAAUUUGCUUGAAUUAUGGUGAUAAUGACUAGCAUAUAUUGGACUUGCCGUGUGCGGGUGCUGUGUAGGCUUUACAUAGAUUGACUCCUCUCACCUCCCCACUCCUCUGUGAGGAGGGCACCAUCAUCUCCUUGAUUCGGAUGGAGACAGACAGGCACUGAGGGUUAAGUCAGUUGCACAUGGGGUGCAGUCGGGACUCUCCCCGGGAUUCCUACAGAAGAGGCUACAUCUGAACCACGACAGCACCUGCCCUGGACCACGCACACGUUACAUCAUCUACAGCGUAUGCCUUUCUUUAUGCCGCAGCCUCCAGCCCCUGCAGGGUGACUGAGCAGAGCAGAUGCUGCCACUCCCUCAGGUUCCCACAGUCAGCCUUGCUCUGGUUCACAUCCUGCCUCGCUGUGGCUGCUCCAUCUCCCCGUGGCUCCUCCUUCCCCUCCUGCCUGUCUGGGAGGACGUCCCAUUUCAGUUCCGGCUCCUUCGACUCAUCCAUCACUGUGUCUCUGAAGCCACAGCUCUGUUCUGGGGUCCUGGCAGAUGACAGUGGUGACAAAGAGGAAGCUCCUAGGCCCUAGGGAUGGGGCCCUCCUUCAGAGUCGCCCUCCUUGCCGAGAAGUGAUGCCUGGCCCUGGGAAAUGAACAGUGGCCUGGCCUGGUCAGGAAAGGCUGCAGCUCGUGGAACAGCCUGCAGACAAGCUACCCGGCUCCUGGUGGUCAUUUCCACAGCAGGAAGCUGCCUGGGAGCCCUAAAGCCAGUGGGUCUUCAGGUCCUUCAAGAUUUGCUGCCUCCUCACCCAGAACUGUGUGGUCCUGUGGCCUUUAGGUAUGUCUGCUGCCUCCCUGCCUCUCCUCUCCACCUCUGUUUUAUGGAGUGGAAAGAAUAAUGAAAUCAAGACCAGAAAUUCUGGGUCUGCGUUGGCUCUACCGCGAAUGAACUCCCUCCAUAGGCUUGUUUCUCAUCAAUGAUAUAAGAGGUGGGUCGUCUCGUCUCGAAGACCCUUUAUCCCAUGCACAACUCCGGAAAAGGGUUCCCAGCGACUCCAAGGCUGGAAGAUGAUGACUCCGUUCCCAGCCCCGCAGCCCACCAGCGUGGCAGUGGACAAGCCACCCAAGACCAUAGACGAGAAAGGCCACAGACCAUCGGGAAUGUCUCUUCGGCUCAAGAUAAUUUUCAGCAAAAUGGUCAGAAUACAAAGGGUCUGGGUAUCUUCCUGGUUGAUUGUGGAAGAUCAGCCUGGUCACAUGGGCGGCAGCCGAGCGAGGGACAGAGUCUGAGACACUCACCCCACGACGUGGAAGACACCUGGUGACCGUCUGGCAGAAGAAUAAGUCCACAAGAAAGGCCCGAAGUUACGUAAACUUCAGGCCUCACAAAAUCUGGUCAGUUCAUGCAUGUCCCCUAUGGGCAGAAGAACUAAAAGUUAAAUAGCCCUGAGAAAGCCCACAGAAAAUUAGUCCUUCUGAGGAUCUGUGCCUCUACACCCCAAGUCUGCUCAGCCAUCUCCACUCCUGCGUAGGGUUAGGCUGGGCUGGUGUUGUUAAUCAAGCAUAACACAAAAAUGAGAACUUAAGCACAUUUUUGUUAGUCAUUUAAUGUGUUUUGGAUUCUAACUUUUGAGGUGACAAAUAGAAAUGGCAAGCAAUAGGAUAUAUUGGAGUAUAUGAGGAAGCCAUUUGGUGUAAGCCUAAUUUGGCCUGACCUUGUUUUUCCAAAAGGGCCUGAUCAUGGCUGUUGAGCACGUGUUGCAUAUCUGCUUUAAACAUUUCCUAUGGCAAGAACAAAGGCCCUUGAGACAAAGGUGCAACUUCUCUCCCCCUCCCAACUUUGGCAUUUCCUUAAAGAUUAAGCGUCUUUCCUUAGGCUAGGAACUGAUUGCUGCACUCACCUGUGACCACCCAGCUCAAGACAAUAGACUGCCAUCCUGCUGUUUCCAUCAAUCGCUGUGCCGACAGAGCAGUCUCAUGACUAUUGUAAAAGGGACAUUUCAAUACUAUGUAAAGCAUCCUGUUUGGGGGUAUAGAACCACUCUGUGCACCUCACUUCUUUGGUGCCCUGUCUUCCUUCGGGAAGAAAGGCCCCAGGCCAUGGUCCUCACAUUUUAGCUCAGAAUAAACUCACCCAAAUUUUCAUUUAUAGAUUGGUUAUGGAUUAUUUUUGUCAACAGAGGUUAUCAAAAUAGAUUUCAAUAAGACAAAAAAUGAUACUGUAUUUUCAUUCUAGAUAUGAAAACAAUGAACUUGAGCAUGCUGUCAGUCUCAGUUCUUACCCCAGGAUUUUGUGGUUUGAAUUGGCUCUCACAUAAAAUAAAUCCCAUUCCUUCUUUAUUUUGUGACUUGGCAAUAAAUAAUAGAGAAGAUCGAGGGGAAAUGCUAUGGUGUUACUAACGUUAUUCUAACUGAGCCCAUUUUGCACAGAACUU